UAGUGUUGCAAAACUAGCGGAUGAGCUGUGGAUAGGGGUGAAAGGCUAAACAAACUUGGAAAUAGCUGGUUCUCUCCGAAAACUAUUUAGGUAGUGCCUCAAGUAUUACCGUCGGGGGUAGAGCACUGUUUAGGCUAGGGGGUCAUGGCGACUUACCAAACCUAUGCAAACUCCGAAUACCGACGAGUACAGCUUGGGAGACAGAGCACCGGGUGCUAACGUCCGGACUCAAGAGGGAAACAACCCAGACCGCCAG
rnacentral:rRNA from 1 species